UACAGAGGUCCCAAGCGUUGUUCGGAUUCACUGGGCGUAAAGGGUGCGUAGGCGGUCGGGUAAGUCUGGCGUGAAAUCUCCAAGCCUAACUUGGAAACUGCGUUGGAUACUAUCCGGCUCGAGGAAUGGAGGGGAGACUGGAAUACUUGGUGUAGCAGUGAAAUGCGUAGAUAUCAAGUGGAACACCAGUGGCGAAGGCGAGUCUCUGGGCCGAUACUGACGCUGAGGAGCGAAAGCGUGGGGAGCGAACAGG
rnacentral:rRNA from 1 species